AUGGACAAUACUGAAGUCACCGCUGCAAGUGGGAACUCCGCAAAGAGUGGGGUCAUUGUAUGGACCCCUGCCAUGACCAACACGAUGCUAGGGUUUUUGGCCGACCUUGUUGCUAAAGGAAAGAGGACUUCUAGUGGGUUCAGGGAGGCACAUCACAGACAAUGUGCUGCUGUUUUGAAUGAGCAGUUCAAACUAGCUGUCACUGGAGUACAAGUUCGAAACCAUCUCAAGAAGUGGAGGAAGAUUUGGGGAAGGGUGGUCAUCUUGAAGAAUUUAAGUGGAGCUCUAUGGGAUGAAGAUACUUGCACAAUUAGGCUUGCCGAAGAACACUAUGCAGGUCAUUGCAUGGUAAGCUUCUAA
rnacentral:rRNA from 1 species